GAAUUGACGGGGGCCCGCACAAGCGGUGGAGCAUGUGGUUUAAUUCGAUGCAACGCGAAGAACCUUACCUGGUCUUGACAUCCACGGAAGUUUUCAGAGAUGAGAAUGUGCCUUCGGGAACCGUGAGACAGGUGCUGCAUGGCUGUCGUCAGCUCGUGUUGUGAAAUGUUGGGUUAAGUCCCGCAACGAGCGCAACCCUUAUCCUUUGUUGCCAGCGGUCCGGCCGGGAACUCAAAGGAGACUGCCAGUGAUAAACUGGAGGAAGGUGGGGAUGACGUCAAGUCAUCAUGGCCCUUACGACCAGGGCUACACACGUGCUACAAU
rnacentral:rRNA from 2 species